GACGAACGCUGGCGGCGUGCUUAACACAUGCAAGUCGAACGGAAAGGCCCUGCUUUUGUGGGGUGCUCGAGUGGCGAACGGGUGAGUAACACGUGAGUAACCUGCCCUUGACUUUGGGAUAACUUCAGGAAACUGGGGCUAAUACCGGAUAGGAGCUCCUGCUGCAUGGUGGGGGUUGGAAAGUUUCGGCGGUUGGGGAUGGACUCGCGGCUUAUCAGCUUGUUGGUGGGGUAGUGGCUUACCAAGGCUUUGACGGGUAGCCGGCCUGAGAGGGUGACCGGCGACAUUGGGACUGAGAUACGGCCCAGACUCCUACGGGAGGGAGCAGUGUGGAAUAUUGCGCAAUGGGCGGAGGCGUGAGGCAGCAACGCCGCGUGCGGGAGAACGGCCUUCGGGUUGUAAACCGCUUUCGCCUGUGACGAAGCGUGAGUGACGGUAAUGGGUAAAGAGGCACCAGCUAACUACGUG
rnacentral:rRNA from 1 species